AUAUACACAUACACACGUGUGUGUGUGUGUGUACAUAUAUAUAUGUAUGUAUAAUGUGUUGUUGUAUAUUGUGUUUGUAAUACUUUUAUAUUCAUUUAUAAUACAUUUAUAUGUAUACACAUAAACUAUAUGCAAACAAGUCUACAUAUGUAACCUACAAUUACAUAUACAUGUAUAUAUAUUUAUACAUAAACAUGUGUGUGUAUUCAUAAAAUGUUUAGUUUAGUGAGUCAGAUCCUUGUGUUCUCAAGCUUAACAUUUUUCUUAUUUCUUGUCCGAUUUAAAAAAUUACUUUCCUGUUUUCUUUGUCUUGAGUGAGUUUGUCCUAAAAACAGUUUCCUGUUUUAUGUUAGGAGUUUAGAAAACUUUCUUUUUUUAAUUUAAUUCAUUCUUUAUAAUCUUGUUCUUCACACUUGAUUUCUAAUGUUUUGUGCCAAAGUGUAUGAACUCUUAUUACAGAAGAUGGCAAUAAUUACAGUGCUAUGACAAAUAUAAUUACUUGCUUGUAAUCAAAAUAUACUCAUCGUUUUAUAGUCACUUAAUCUAGGAAGACCAUUCCUCUAUAUAUAUAUACAUAUAUAUAUAUAUAGAUUUAAUAUAUAACCUAUUAAAUCAUUUAUUAAAUUGUUUUCCUUCAAAUUUUAAAAUUAUUAAAACCAUAAUUAAAAGGCUUGCCAUGACAAUCUUUCUUGGCUGACACUGUUAGAAAUUAUUUAUGGUUCAAUAAAAAAGAAUAUAAAUUAUAUCCCCCCCACAUACACACACACACACACCUUUUCAUAUUUUGUCAAUGUUUGGUUUCUGUUGUUUAAAAUUCAUAUAUGCAAAUUAACAUGAUGGUGCAUAUUAUCAUAAAAUUAUAACAAUAUAAUUGUGUCUUCUCUCACAAAAUAAGUUUUAAAUGCUUUUCAAGAUUAUCUCUAAAGCCUUCAUUGAAUUAUAACAAUUAAAUUAUAAGUAUGUUAUUUGUUGAUAAUAUAUCCCUCCUUGUCAUGUUGCUGUUCCCUUUUAAAGAAUUUUAUAAAACAUCAUACUGUUCCAUUUAUGUUUCCUUUUUAAUCAGCAAUGCUUUCUUUCUUGGAAUUUCAAGGCCAACUAUUUCAAUUUUGAGAAGACAGUCUGUUGCUUUCAUUUGUCUUCUAAAUAUAUUUACUGAUGCAAUAAAAAUUCAGGAUAUUUUACAUUUAGUUCAUAUUAAUUAAUCUUGUUCAACAUUUUGUUAAGAUCUUCACACUACAGAUGUACACAUAUUUACUAAUCAUAAAGCUGUUGCUUACUGCAAGUCUUCAUAAUUUUAAUUUGUGCAUCCAACUAACAAUUAAAAAUUGUGAGUUCUUUCAUUUUCUUUAUCUACAUAAGUAAUCUUUGUUGACAUUUGUAUUUAGCGUAUAUAUUCAGAGAAAUACAUAAUGCCUACAUGGUUCUCAUAAAAAAAUAUAAACUAGAUAAUAUAUGGAUAUGAGUUUGAUGGAAAGUUUAUUUUUUACAAAAACAAAAGUAUAUUGAAGAUUUUUACCAUUAAAAGAACUUAUCUAUCUACACAGUUACUUUUUAGAUUUCCUUUGAGAAAACAUGCCACCUUUUUUUUUUUUAUUCUUACAUAAGUGUUAAUAACUGUGAAAUAGUCAACUAUAUAAACUUGUUCUGUAGGAUUCUGCUCUAUAAUUGCAUAGAGAUCAAUGACUAGGUAUAUAGAACUCGUGAAAUUUGCCAUAGUAUUUCAUAAUGUAGUUCUAAGUAUUGUAGGUUUCUUUCUAUAAAAUGUUCUCAUGUUUUGUUAUUAUAGCUGACAAGGUUAUACAAUUUUCUUAAAUACAUUUUUUAAUGAGCUAUCAUGAUCUAUGCCUAUUUUAAGUAUUGACAUUUGAUUAAGGUAGAAUUUCAGUGUACAUGUUUUUAGAUAUGAUUUUUGUAUUCGAAUACAUUUUUACAAACUAGAUGAUAUAAAUCGUUUUUAAUUAUUAUUUCUAAUUAACUAAAACACAUUAUUUUCUAUUGCAAAUUUUGGGGAAAUGGCAAUGUAAAACUAGUUGUUGCAGUCAUUUGAGAGUGCCUAUCUUGUAAAUAUAUCUCACAGUCAUUACUGAAAAUUUGAAACAUUUGUGUUUAAAAAGGAAAACUAGUAUUUGCUUCUUUGGUAAAAUCUCUUUUCUAUGUGGAAAAAAUAUAUCACAGAUUUAAACUACUGUUCUAUGUGCUUCUAUGUAGAACUGCAUUAAUUUUCAUUUUAUUUUAUUUUUGUUUUUAUUCUGGUCAUUCAUAAAACUAUUAAUAUAUGAAGAAUAGCAUGUUUACAAACUUUUAAUUUCCAUUUUAUUAUGACAUAUUUGUAACCACAUAUUUACAUAUAUCAUUUUUUUAAACUCAUUGUUAUUUAUUAACUUUCUGAGAAAAAUAUUUUUUUAUUUCCUUCUGUCACUAUAAUUUUUUUUUUUUAUUAUUAUUUUGAAAUGUUUUCUACAAGUUCCAUUAAUUCCAUGAAAUUUUGAUUCCAUGUGAAAACAAAAUAACUAUUGAAAACUUUCAUUAUUUCAUUAAGGAACUAAUUUCCCUUCAUUUCCUUAUUGCUUUACCUUUUAACAUUACGACUUAUAAGAGGCUUCAGUAUUUAAUCUGCAUUAAGGAGAUCCUGUGGAUUUAUAUAUGUAAUGAGAAAAACAAUUUAGUUUUUUAUUUAAUUUCAUUUCUGCUGUUGGCUAUUUCAUUACAUCUUCAUGCAUAGCAAAAAAACAAGCAAGCAACACAUAUUCCUCUGUUAAUUGUUGAUGUGGAAUAUUUGUUGUACAUCAUCCUUCACAGCAUUUAUAUAGUGAUAUUCUUUAUCUUAGGGCAUAAACAUUAUUAUAUCUAGCAUUUUUAUUUCAUUUCCACUGGUUUCCUUUUAUUUGAGAGAAAAAAAAAAUUCCAAUAAAGUAUGAAGCAUUUUAUGAUUGUAAUGAUUAUAAUUUCUGUGACAAAUUUGUUGGAUUUAAUGAUGGAGGGAAAACAUCUUUUGUUGUUGUGGGAAUAGCUUAUGCACACAAUACACUAUUAUUAUCUGCUCAAAUAUAUGUUAUAUUCGUAUGCAUUAUGUUUUUUCAAAUAUUUGGUGUGAAUUCUAUGAUAGACAGAAAUGGUAUUAUAUUACGCUUAUAUGCAGGUUGUUUAGAAUAAGGAAAUAUCAAAAAACUUCCAUAAAUUGUUAAAAGUUUUGUGUGACUUAUGAACCAAGUGAAUUAAAAUGUGUUGGAAAUGAUAUUUUACUAUUAGAUUCUUGUAUACAUUUAAACAUAUGUACUUUGAAUAUUACAGUUAUUUGUUGAGACUAAUAAUCUAUAGAAUCAAUACAUUCUUUAAGUGCAUUGUUGAUUGUAAUUUCUUUUUCUUUUUCUUCCAAUUUGGUUGAAUUCCAUAUAUCCACAGCUGUUUUAUAAUUAUAUAAUAAUCAGGAAAUUUACUAAUGUUCUUAUUGAAUACUUUUCAAUUUUUAAUUCAAUAUUUAAUUAUCCUUAGAUCAUUAUGGCAUUUUUAUUUGGUUGUGAUAACGCUAAUCAGAACAUUGUACCAGAAAAAUCAGAUAUAUGUAUGCAUUCAUACACAAUCACACAUCAUAUGACAAAUGUUUUGAAACAACAAGUUGGUACAAAAAUGUUAUUUCACUCUUCAUGUUUUGCAAUGAUAUUUGAUCAAAAAUAUGGUCAAAUCUUCUAGAAAGGGGUUUUCUUUAAAAUCUUUAAUGUACGUCUUCUCAAUUAUAAUGGAUAUACCCAGGUCUGCCAAAUCACUCUACCAUUUGAACUCUAACAAAAAUAUCCCAUAAAUAUUGCUUGAAUGAUAAAUUAAUUUGAGACACUUUUUUAUAUUUGAUCUCUAUUGUAAAUAUCUGUUGGUCAUAUUUGUCUGUUGCUAGGGAAAUAAUAGAUAUUUAGAUAACUUUUAAUAUUCAAAUAUGAAGUGUUCAUAAAAGUAUUUCAUCUUAUUUUAACAAUAACUUCAAGAAGUAUAAAAUCUUUUCAUAAUCUAAAGCAAGGAAUAUGACUGUCAUGUACGCUAUUUGAGUAUUGAUCACAUUGUUAUGAAGUGAUCCAAAUUUAAUUUGGACAAACGUUGAACUCCUUAUUAGCACUAAAGAACCUGCUAUAGAGUUCUUUGCUUUCACCAGUUCUUUCUACUUCAAUGUCCUCAGGAAUUUGGAUCAUCCUCACCUCAUAUUGUUAACCACAUAAUCGUUAUCAUAAUCAAACAAUACUCUUAUGGUCAUGUGAUGUUGUCACUAACGCUUUGGGAUUGAAAGUUUCAAAAACAGCUCUUAGAGGCUAUAAUAUGGCUUGGAAUAUCCCAAAAGUAUUUUGUUAUGUCAUCCACUGUACCCUAAGGUUUUAUGUAUUUCUUCAGUUAUUGCAAAAUUGUCAUCAAUACUUACUUCUGUGGAAUUAAUUCCCGAAAACCUGGUUAAUUCCAUAUUAAAGUAAAUUUUUAUCUUUAAAAAAAAAGUCAAAAAGAAUGCUAUUAUCUAUUCGAAAUAUAAUUAUCAAAGAGUUUGUUUUAAAACAAAGAAACAAAAAAUGGAUCCAAACUAAUGCCAGUGCAACAUCUUUUUUGUUAAUUUUAAUGAAUAUAAAUUAUUUUCAAAAUAGUUAAUAGAUUUCUCAGUUGUCAUUUGUUUUUUGUUUGUUUUUUUUUUUUUGUUUUUUUUUUACAUGCCUAUUCAUCAGAAAAGAGGGGCCGGCAUUGUCUUAUUGUUUUAAGAACGACUUUGUUGUUACUCUUUGUAACUUUUUCAAAGGGAAGUUGAUAUAAAUCGAAAUUUUAUAAUUCUGGAAGGAAAUCGGUUUGCUCUCUUUCACACACUCACACAUACAACAAACAUAUGCACAUAAUUGAAAAUAUUCUAUAAAAUUCAACUUUUCUCAUUUAAAUCUAUUUUGUUGAUAAAAUCUCCAAGAUUUUUUUUUUUUUCUACAAACACAUAACAUUAUUCUUGUUAUUCAAACAUUUUGAACUCUACACAAUUCGGUUUUCAUCUGUUAGUAUUUUAUAUUAACCGUCCCAUUACAGAAAUCACAUAACCACAUUUUAAACCUGGACAAUAGUUUUGCUGUGUUUUCGAUACCCUCAGAUAUUUGCUUUGAUGCUGUUUAUAGGAGAGGUUAAUGCAGAUAACACUGAAUCUAGAAACCCAGUUUCUUAGGUGAUAAUUACUAUUCUCAAUCAUGAGAGCAAACUGACGAUUAUUAGAAUUCAAACAAACCAUAGUUUACCUUUAAGUACUGGCAAACGGUAACACAAUUCUUAAAUAAAUAUUUCCUGAGUGUUUAGUGAUUUUAAUAUAAUGAAAGUGAAAUGAAAGAAAUUUCAGUAUUGCCUGUAUUGUUUAUACCUGUGAAUGUUUCUUUGCUUUCAUAUAAAAAAAAUCAUUUUAACUUUCCUUCUACAUUAGCAAAAUGAGAUAUGUAUGGUGGAGAGAGAGAGAGAUAGAUGCAGGUGCCAUAGACCAGAUCAUAUUACGUUCUUUUUCUUACAAAAAUGUGUUUGAUACUUGUCAUCCAUCAACUAAUAAAAUUAGUUUGAUAUAUAUCUACUUACUUUUAUGUCAUAAACUUUUAACAAAACCAUUUGAUUUAUUAUAUGAAAGGAGUGAUUGAAUCCACUUUCAAUAGACACAUUUAUUAUUGACUGUUGAUCAAUAAGAACACAACUGUAAUCCUGACAUUAUCAGCUAAAGUCAUUGGAUCAGUCUCAUUUGAAUAUUGGUUUCUUUUAUGUAUUCAUUAAGUAUAGAGUAUUUGAAAUUGCAUCAGAUUUUCAUCAUAGCUGGACUACUGAAGCUAAGGAUUUUUAUAGAUUUAAUUUAAAGUUAUGUUAAUUCCGAUGCAAUUUUUAGGCCUUCAAUAAUGUUGUUUAAAUGUCUAGCAUAUGUAAUCAGGAUGCUUUUCUAAAGUGAAUGUUAAUGAAAAGCAUGGGAAUAAAUCUGUGCUUGUAAGAUUGUAAAGCUUUCUCGCAUAAUUAUUGAAAUAGACUGGCAUUUAUUAAUCAGGUUGGAAAAAUUGACAGUUUGCUAUCAUCGUUCUUUCCAUCCAGAAUAUUAGGUGCCACUGUUUUGCCAUUUGUUUACCAGAAUUCUUGUUUCUCUGUCAGCUCCAUUAUCUCAGAAAACGCUAAAACUAGGCAGUUUAAAUCUUUUUAUGAAUGAUUACUGAAUAAAGUGGGGUGGUAGAUUGCAGAAUUAUUUAAAGUCCACAAUAUUACUCUUUUUACUGUUUCAUUUGCUAAUCAAACUGUAUGAUGUAUUGAAAGAAAUAAAAAUAUUCCUUCUGAUAGUGGUAGCUACAAAAGGGUUAAUAGUGGGAAAUACUAACUAUUAUGUAAAAAAAAUUAUAUUUUUAUCAGAUUCUUAAAAGAGAGUGGUAAAGGAAUCACAUCACAGCCCAACUUGUAAAAAUAUAUAAGCAACCUUAAAUGACUAGAAAUUUGCAAGAAAAUAAAAAAGAUUGGUCAAAACCCAUCUUUUAUUUUUAUCAGUUUUUUUUUUAAGUUUGCAUUUUGACAUUUAAUUUUUUAUACCCUUGUUUAAUGUCCUCAAAAAUAAUAUUCCUACACUUUGUACAACACAAAAUUUCAGUCUAAAAUAUGCUUUCAUUUUGAUGCUUUUCACAGUAUUUUUUGUUUGUAAACUACUUCUCACUUUAAUAAUUUUUAUUUAUUUAAUGAAUUUAUCUUUCAUUCUACUUUAUAUACUCUUUUAAUUUUGAUAUGCAUUUAGCAGAUUUUUAUCAGGUUUCAUAUUUUCUUUGAGUCGGUUAUAUUUUUGUUAGCUUCCAUGAGGAAAUGCAGGGUGUCUUUUUUUUUUUUUUUUUUUCUCCCCUUUCCGCCAUUUUGUCUUUGGCUCUCUUUCUCAUUUAGGGAAACAUGCUAGUUAAAGACAACAAAAUACUUUACUGAACGACAUAAUCCAAUAGCUGCAGUGGAAUGUUAAUUUUCACUAUUUCUUCAGCUAAUCAAUCAUUAGAAAUUUGCAUUUUUUUUUUUUUUUUUUUUUUUUAAUAGAAAAAAAAACUCCCUGGACAGUACCAAAAAUAUUUUAUACAUUCUGAAAACACUUUUCCCUUCAGUUUCAUAUGUGUAUGAGCAUUCACCAUCAUCCUUUUGAAGAUAAAAAUUGUGUUAAUGCUUCAUGCGUGUAUGUGAGGUUGUGUGUGUAUAUGUGUAUAUAUACUUAUAUGUAUAUAUACACACAUAUAUAUGAAUGCGCAUCAGUUAUAUAAUGAUUGAAACUUAAUAUCAUUCAUAUAGUUAUAUAUCAACUUGUGUUUAAAAAAUGUUCCUCAAUUUGCUAACGAGUUAUGCAGAAGAUGAAGCAGUUCUGUUUUACACUUUAGUUUAUUUCACAAUAAUGAGGUUUUCAACCUUUUUCUCUUUUUGUUUUUUUACCUCUUCAAUAUUUUCAAUUGAACCAUUUACAACAUGCACUUGGAUUGUUUUUCCAUUUCCUUCCAGAUAUCUCUUGUUUACAGGAUAAAGUAUUGUUGUCUUAUUGUUAUGUUCACUUAAGACUAAUAUUUUGAAACAUUAAAAAAGGUAAAUAUUCUGUCAUUCUCUA